rnacentral:rRNA from 1 species
CUCUCCCCUGUCAAAAUGCAAUAAAUAUACCUAAAUCAAAAGCACUGAUAAGGGGAGGCAAGUCGUAACAUGGUAAGUGUACCGGAAGGUGCACUUGGAUUAACUAAAGGCAUGGUCCUGACCUUACUAUCAGCAUUCGCCCAACUUACACAUGCAAGUAUCUGCGCCCCCGUGAGUACGCCCUCGACCCCCCGCCCGGGGACCAGGAGCAGGCAUCAGGCACACUUUUACCCCGCCCAAGACGCCCAGCCAGGCCACACCCCCAAGGGAAUUCAGCAGUGAUAAACAUUAAGCCAUGAGCGAAAGCUCGACUUAGUUGAGGCCAACAGAGCCGGUAAAACUCGUGCCAGCCACCGCGGUUAGACGAGAGGCCCAAGUUGAUAGUACUACGGCGUAAAGGGUGGUUAGGGAUUAUAAUUUAAUAAAGCCAAAUAGCCCUCCAGCUGUCAUACGCCCCCCGGCGCUAGAAGCCCGACACACGAAAGUAGCUUUAACAACACCCACCUGACCCCACGAAAGCUAAGAAACAAACUGGGAUUAGAUACCCCACUAUGCUUAGCCGUAAACCCAGACACCCAAACACAAUAUGUGUCCGCCGGGGUACUACAAGCAUUAGCUUAAAACCCAAAGGACCUGACGGUGCCUCAGACCCCCCUAGAGGAGCCUGUUCUAGAACCGACAACCCCCGUUAAACCUCACCACUUCUGGUCAACCCAGCCUAUAUACCGCCGUCGCCAGCUUACCCUGUGAAGGGUAUAAGAGUAAGCAAAAUGAGCACAACUCAGAACGUCAGGUCGAGGUGUAGCGUAUGGAGUGGGAAGAAAUGGGCUACAUUUUCUACUACAGAACACUACGGAUACGCAACAUGAAAUAGUGCUUAAAGGAGGAUUUAGUAGUAAAAAGGAAAAAGAGCGUCCUUUUGAACCCGGCUCUGAGACGCGUACACACCGCCCGUCA